CGCAGUCUGAUGGAGCACGCCGCGUGAGUGAAGAAGGUUUUCGGAUCGUAAAGCUCUGUUAUUGGUGAAGAAAGAUAGAGGUAGUAACUGGCCUUUAUUUGACGGUAAUCAACCAGAAAGUCACGGCUAACUACGUGCCAGCAGCCGCGGUAAUACGUAGGUGGCAAGCGUUGUCCGGAUUUAUUGGGCGUAAAGCGAGUGCAGGCGGUUCAAUAAGUCUAAUGUGAAAGCCUUCGGCUUAA
rnacentral:rRNA from 1 species